GUGACCCCAGGAUGGGC
rnacentral:rRNA from 4 species